rnacentral:rRNA from 1 species
GCAGAGUCACUCCUACGGGAGGCUAGCUAGUGGGGUAAUAUUGCACAAUUGGGCGCAAGCCUGAUUGCAGCCAUGUCCGCGUGUAUGAAGAAGGCCUUCGGUUGUAAAGUACUUUCAGCAGUGAGGAAGGUGGAUAUGUUAAUAGCAUAUUCAUUUGACGUUAGCUGCAGAAGAAGCACCGGCUAACUCCGUGCCAGCAGCCGCGGUAAUACGGAGGGUGCGAGCGUUAAUCGGAAUUACUGGGCGUAAAGCGCAUGCAGGUGGUUUGUUAAGUCAGAUGUGAAAGCCCGGGGCUCAACCUCGGAAUUGCAUUUGAAACUGGCAAACUAGAGUACUGUAGAGGGGGUAGAAUUUCAGGUGUAGCGGUGAAAUGCGUAGAGAUCUGAAGGAAUACCGGUGGCGAAGGCGGCCCCCUGGACAGAUACUGACACUCAGAUGCGAAAGCGUGGGGAGCAAACAGGAUUAGAUACCCUGGUAG